rnacentral:sRNA from 1 species
ACAAGAUGCAAUUUUAAAAAGCUGAUUUCUAUACCAUGUGUUAUCUGUCUCCAGUGAUAUUGAAUAGUCUCAUUCAGAGGCUCCCUAAGGGCGGGGAGAAAAAGACACAUAAUGAAUGUUACAUUACCUUGUUUUGAAAACAGAUUGUUCAGAGAUUUUCAAUGAUGGGUAUAAGCUCAGUGGAUUUUACAAAAUCAAACCUCUCCAGAGCCCAGCAGAAUUUUCUGUUUAUUGUGACAUGUCCGAUGGAGGAGGAUGGACUGUGAUUCAGAGACGAUCUGAUGGCAGUGAGGACUUUAACAGAGGAUGGAAAGACUAUGAAAAUGGCUUUGGAAAUUUUGUCCAAAAACAUGGUGAAUAUUGGCUGGGCAAUAAAAAUCUGCAUUUCUUGACCACUCAAGAAGACUACACUUUAAAAAUCGACCUUGCAGAUUUUGAAAAAAAUAGCCGUUAUGCACAAUAUAAGAAUUUCAAAGUUGGAGAUGAAAAGAAUUUCUACCAGUUGAAUAUUGGGGAAUAUUCUGGAACAGCUGGAGAUUCCCUUGCGGGGAAUUUUCAUCCUGAGGUGCAGUGGUGGGCUAGUCACCAAAGAAUGAAAUUCAGCACGUGGGACAGAGAUCAUGACAACUAUGAAGGGAACUGCGCGGAAGAAGAUCAGUCUGGCUGGUGGUUUAACAGGUGUCACUCUGCAAACCUGAAUGGUGUAUACCACAGCGGCCCCUACACGGCUAAAACAGACAAUGGGAUUGUCUGGUACACCUGGCAUGGGUGG